rnacentral:tRNA from 1 species
GGUGGCUCAGUGCUAGAGUGUUUGCCUUGCAUGCAGGAGGCCCUGGGUUCGAUUCCUCAGCACCA